GAGUAACGCGUGGGUAACCUGCCUCAUACAGGGGGAUAACAGUUAGAAAUGACUGCUAAUACCGCAUAAGCGCACAGUGCUGCAUGGCACAGUGUGAAAAACUCCGGUGGUAUGAGAUGGACCCGCGUCUGAUUAGCUAGUUGGUGGGGUAACGGCCUACCAAGGCGACGAUCAGUAGCCGGCCUGAGAGGGUGAACGGCCACAUUGGGACUGAGACACGGCCCAAACUCCUACGGGAGGCAGCAUG
rnacentral:rRNA from 1 species